UCUCCGGUAGUCUAGCGGUUAAGACUCCACACUUCCUAUGUGGAGGGUGCAGGUUCAGUCCCUGGUCGAGGAA
rnacentral:tRNA from 1 species